rnacentral:rRNA from 1 species
CCUACGGGUGGCAGCAGUGAGGAAUAUUGGUCAAUGGCCGCAGGGCUGAACCAGCCAAGUCGCGUGAGGGAUGACGGCCCUAUGGAUUGUAAACUUCUUUUGUCAGGGAGUAAAGUGUGCCACGUGUGGGGUUUUGUGAGUACCAUAAGAAAAAGCAUCGGCUAACUCCGUGCCAGCAGCCGCGGUAAUACGGAGGAUGCGAGCGUUAUCCGGAUUUAUUGGGUUUAAAGGGAGCGUAGGCGGACUUUUAAGUCAGGGGUGAAAGUCUGUGGCUCAACCAUAGAAUUGCCGUUGAAACUGGCAGUCUUGAGUAUGUUAGAGGCGGGCGGAAUGCGUGGUGUAGCGGUGAAAUGCUUAGAUAUCACGCAGAACCCCGAUUGCGAAGGCAGCCUACCAGAC